rnacentral:rRNA from 1 species
UACGUAGGUGGCAAGCGUUGUCCGGAAUUAUUGGGCGUAAAGCGCGCGCAGGCGGUCCUUUAAGUCUGAUGUGAAAGUCCACGGCUCAACCGUGGAGGGUCAUUGGAAACUGGGGGGACUUGAGUGCAGAAGAGGAAAGCGGAAUUCCACGUGUAGCGGUGAAAUGCGUAGAGAUGUGGAGGAACACCAGUGGCGAAGGCGGCUUCCUGGUCUGCGACUGACGCUGUGGCGCGAAAGCUAGGGGAGCAAACGGG